rnacentral:sRNA from 1 species
CAGCACUUCAGUCUGUGGUUCGAUUCUUUUUGAUGCAAAGUUUGAUGAGUCCUCUUGUCAUAAGUUCCUUCAUUACUCUUUGCUUCCAUGUGGCAUUCAGUUGGUUUAUGGUGUUUAAAUCGGGACUUGGUAACUUAGGAGCAGCAUUUUCUAUUGGUACUUCAUAUUGGCUGAAUGUGACUAUACUUGGAUUAUAUAUGAAAUUCUCUUCUCAUUGUGAAAAGACUCGAGCCCCAAUUUCAAUGGAAUUAUUCCAUGGGAUUGGAGAAUUCAUUCGCUAUGCCAUUCCUUCAGCUGGAAUGAUUUGCCUUGAAUGGUGGUCGCUUGAAAUACUAAUUUUGCUUUCUGGUCUUCUACCAAAUGCAAAGCUAGAAACAUCAGUCUUAUCCGUAUGUUUAAACAUCAGCGCAACAAUCUACACAAUCCCAGAAUCAAUUGGCGCAGCAGCAAGCGCUAGAGUUUCGAAUGAAUUAGGUGCUGCAAGUCCACAAUCAGCAAAAGUAUCUGCUUAUGCUUCCAUGAUACUGGCAGCUACCCAGGCCAUUGUGGUGGGCUCGAUAAUUUUUUCUUGCAGGCAGAUUUUGGGUUAUGUAUUCAGCAAUGAGCAGGACGUGGUGGAUUAUGUCUCAGAAUUGGCUCCUCUCUUAAGUCUCUCUGUUAUGCUGGACUGCUUGCACGGUACCCUUUCAGGUAUUGCGAGAGGAUGUGGGUGGCAGCACUUAGGAGCAUACGUAAACCUUGGAGCCUACUAUGUUUUUGGAAUUCCAAUUGCUGCUAUAU